rnacentral:rRNA from 1 species
UACGGGGGGGGCAAGCGUUGUUUGGAAUUACUGGGCGUAAAGGGCUCGUAGGUGGCCAACUAAGUCAGACGUGAAAUCCCUCGGCUUAACCGGGGAACUGCGUCUGAUACUGGAUGGCUUGAGUUCGGGAGAGGGAUGCGGAAUUCCAGGUGUAGCGGUGAAAUGCGUAGAUAUCUGGAGGAACACCGGUGGCGAAGGCGGCAUCCUGGACCGACACUGACGCUGAGGAGCGAAAGCCAGGGGAGCAAACGGG